GGGGGANCGAAAGGCCUCGCGCUCAAGGGGCGGCCGAUGGCAGAUUAGCUAGUUGGUGGGGUAAAGGCCUACCAAGGCGACGAUCUGUAGCUGGUCUGAGAGGACGACCAGCCACACUGGGACUGAGACACGGCCCAGACUCCUACGGGAGGCAGCAGUGGGGAAUUUUGGACAAUGGGGGCAACCCUGAUCCAGCAAUGCCGCGUGUGUGAAGAAGGCCUUCGGGUUGUAAAGCACUUUUGUCCGGAAAGAAAACUUCUGCCCUAAUACGGUGGGAGGAUGACGGUACCGGAAGAAUAAGCACCGGCUAACUACGUGCCAGCAGCCGCGGUAAUACGUAGGGUGCAAGCGUUAAUCGGAAUUACUGGGCGUAAAGCGUGCGCAGGCGGUUCGCUAAGACCGAUGUGAAAUCCCCGGGCUUAACCUGGGAACUGCAUUGGUGACUGGC
rnacentral:rRNA from 1 species